AGAGGAGACACGUAGAUCUACAGGAAAAACAUUAGCUAGUGGCUGUUGGUCGUUACAUUUUAUACUUUUGAUACUUUGUAAUGUUCAAGUUUCCCUUGUCAGUUUGUGAAAGCUGAAACCAAAAGACAGCCCAAAAUAUUUGUUCACGCAUUUCAGGCAGACAAAACAGACCCAGCAACUCAGCAUCGCUAUGAUAAGGCUGAGCCUAGCCUUCCUGGUGGUGUCCACCAUCCUGUGCCUGGCCCACGCCAGGAGACCUAUCCACUGGCAGAACAUAUGGUACCAGGACCACGAGUUCCAGUGUCCCAGAGGACAGUACGUCAACUUGGUGAAAAGUUAUCAUUCCAAAAGAAGAGAAGACAGGCGCUGGGCAAUCGGCUGUGGGGGGAGAGGGGUGACCAGUGCUAGAUGCGAGUGGAGUAAACAAGUCAACGAGUUUGACAAGCCCCUCUACUUCCUCUGCCCUCACAACAUGGUGCUCUCGGGCUGGAGCAGUCGUCCCUCCAACAAAAACGAGGACAGAGUCUUUAAGUUCCGGUGCUGCAGAAUCAAAGGGAGACGAGGACACAAGAGUAGUGUAACCCCCCGAAACUGUAAAAUCACGAGAUGGGUGAACAAGUGGAACAAGUUUUUGGGCAUCAGAACGCAUGGAAAUAUCGUCAUCACUGGCGUCUCCAGCCUCUAUAACAACCAGAAAGAAGAUCGCAGAUGGAGAUUUCAAUUAUGUCAUAUCUAAGGCCGUUCCUCCUUUGGACAACCUCCCCCGUGACAAUGGAAACAUGAAAGCUCUAAGGCUGUUCCAUCUAUGUACAAACCCACCUCUAAAAAAAAUACAAACAACGAGAGGCCUUCUAUUCUUUUAUUCUUAUACAAUUUCUCAUUACUCUGGGUUAUCUUUGAGUAAAUUAUUUUAUUUUAUUUUAAAUUUUUCGUUGAUAUUAAUAUUUAGAUCAAAUUUUUGUUGGAUAAUUUCUAUUCUACCAUACUGUUUUAUUGAAAUAUUUCUCAAUUCUGUUUGAAUCUAAUUGUCUGAUUCUUUUUUUUUUUUUUUUAAUUCCUAUUCCUUAUUAGAUAGGCAAGCUCACCGCGAAGAAUUAGGAGUAAAACCCAUACACCAACAAAAAUCCCUUAUUUCGAUAUUUGAUUUUGGAAAGUUGAAAUGAUUUAAAGAAACAACUCUUCAAGUUAGAAAUAUGGAAACAGAUUACGUUUGUUACUGUACAUUUCAAAAAUAAUUAAUCGAAUGAGUUAUUAUAUUUUCUGUUGAUCUUUCCACGUAAGGUUUUUCUUUUAUUAUCUCUUGAAAUAAAUAUAAGGCCAUGGUGAAC